rnacentral:miRNA from 1 species
AACAUAGUAGGUGUAUAGUAAAUGUAUGAUAAAUUUAAACAAUUCAACCAGUAUUUAUUGAGCACCUACUGUCU